rnacentral:tRNA from 1 species
GUCUCAGUAGCAUAGUGGCUAGUGCACAGCCCUGGAAAGAUUGAGACGCGGGUUCAAUUCCUGCCUGAGAUG